AUGUGCCUUCGGGAACCGUGAGACAGGUGCUGCAUGGCUGUCGUCAGCUCGUGUUGUGAAAUGUUGGGUUAAGUCCCGCAACGAGCGCAACCCUUAUCCUUUGUUGCCAGCGGUCCGGCCGGGAACUCAAAGGAGACUGCCAGUGAUAAACUGGAGGAAGGUGGGGAUGACGUCAAGUCAUCAUGGCCCUUACGACCAGGGCUACACACGUGCUACAAUGGCGCAUACAAAGAGAAGCGACCUCGCGAGAGCAAGCGGACCUCAUAAAGUGCGUCGUAGUCCGGAUUGGAGUCUGCAACUCGACUCCAUGAAGUCGGAAUCGCUAGUAAUCGUGGAUCAGAAUGCCACGGUGAAUACGUUCCCGGGCCUUGUACACACCGCCCGUCACACCAUGGGAGUGGGUUGCAAA
rnacentral:rRNA from 2 species